GUGUCCUGACUCCUGAGUCCUGAGCUGACCUGUUAUUUGUCCUCUGUCAAGCCAGGUCCUUCAGUGCCAUCUGGUGUCAGAAUUUCAACGUCCUCGCCAUUUCUAUCGCCAUCGUCAUGUCACAUGUCAUCGUCUGAUGCAUUGUACGAGCUUUUAUAUCUUAAUUGAUCAUUGAAGACAUUUUGCCCUACAUUUUACCCAUCUUUAAAAGUUUUCUGGUCUGCCUCAGAUGUCAGGGUACAGUAAUGGCACGGUCCCCUUCGACUGUAUUGUCUGACCUACACCCUUUGUGUUUGAACAAGAAAUUACAUGGAGAGGAAGCUUUAGUUUGGUACUUGAUUUGUCACUUGUUGGGCAAGAUGGAAAAAGAUCAGGGUUCGAUGUUUUCCUUGUUGACAAGACGUCUUGAUGUCGGUAACACCUAAUUUAUGGAAUGUAUGAUUGCAAACGAUGAAUUUUCUCAAAUUCCAUCAGCUGAUAGUUUUCAACGUUUUCAUUGGGGAAGGAAGGAAAAUGUAAAUAAUUAUGAAGAAUGUCGUUGCAUCGGUAGCAGAGCGUCUGAUACCCCCUAUCUAUCAUUGAAGGGAGAACACCUAAAUAUUUUAGUUACAAACUGACAGGAAAAACUGCGAAAAAGAUAAUGGACUAGAGCAUGUCUGAUACUCAGAGGCAUGUUGGAGUGUUCCAGAAAGCCGGAUUCCGAGAAAAAAUCUGAUUCAAAGGACCAUCAACACAAUAUAGAUUGUUUAACUUUGUAUUCUUGAUUUGAUGGUGAAAUUGAAUUAAAUUGGAAGUUGAAAGCUA
rnacentral:lncRNA from 1 species